rnacentral:lncRNA from 1 species
GCCAUGAGGGCGGGAACCCUCGUACGCGGAAGUUCAUGAGGGCGGGACCCUCGUACGCGGAAGGUCAUGAGGGCGGGACCCUCGUACGCGGAAGUUCAUGCGGGCGGGACCCUCGUACGUGGAAGGUCAUGAGGGCGGGACCCUCGUACGUGGAAGGUCAUGAGGGCGGAACCCUGGUACAUGAAAUUCGUUCUCUUAUUUAAGAGACAAAGAACGCCCUUGUUUUUUCCACCACGUGAUGGCGCAGACAGAAGACAACCAGCAUCUAUGAACCAGGAAGCCCCCACCAGGCACUGAAUCUGCCCCUGCGUGGAUCUUAGACUUGCAGACUCCAGAACUCUAACAUGGGCUUUCGAGCGGAUUUUCAGAACAUAGAACUUGCUGGUUUACUCCCUAUUACCCGGGUACCUACUGACAGCAGGCACAGCAUGGAAGCCAGUGCUACCAUUUAACUACGAAUAAGCUGAUCUCAAGUUUACAGGCUGGGAGUAAAGUCAACCUUAAUCAAAACCUUACAAUGUCUCUUCUCCAUUAAGAAAACCUACUUCAACAUCUCCAUUGGUUCUCAACAUAGAGGUCCAAAUUUUGGUCUGGAGCCAGAGACAAUAUAGGAUGAAGUUUGAUUUGUUCCAAAACCCACAGAAAUCUCUAAAAUGGAAGAAUUUUCUUAGAACCAAAAGGCAUGGAAUUGAUGACAUGAAACUGCCUGAGCUUCUCAGCUGACCUGUGAUGGAGUGUUGUGCCCAAGUGGAAAGUUCUUCUUUCUUUCAGAGACAUAUCAUUCACCAUAAAAUACAACCAGAGACUUCAAAAUUACUCCAGGCUAGAAGGACACUCCAAUUAGGGGAAAAGUAACCUAUGGGCAAACCAUCUUCCGUAAGAGUUCAAGGACAAAAAACUACUGAUGUUGUAAUAACAUUGAAACUUAAUGUUUUGGGCAAUCCUUAAGUGAUUUAUUUGGAGUGUCCCAGUCAUUUUAGACCUCUUCACCUUACAAUGUAUUGUGUGAGAUUAUAUUUCCAUGCACCUAAUUUUAAAAUAAAUUUAUUUAGGUAGAUGUAGAGACAUAUUACUGUGAUAAAGCAGUUCAUACCAAAUAAAAUUUAGCUAA